GAAAUGCGAUAAGUAGUGUGAAUUGCAGAAUUCAGUGAAUCAUCGAAUCUUUGAACGCACAUUGCGCCCCUUGGUAUUCCAUGGGGCAUGCCUGUUCGAGCGUCAUCUACACCCUCAAGCUCUGCUUGGUGUUGGGCGUCUUUGUCCCGCCUCCGCGCGCGGACUCGCCCCAAAUUCAUUGGCAGCGGUCCUUGCCUCCUCUCGCGCAGCACAUUGCGCUUCUCGAGGUGUUGCGGCCCGCGUCCAGAAAGCAAUCGUUACCGUCUUUGACCUCGGAUCAGAUAGGGAUACCCGCUGAACUUAAGC
rnacentral:misc_RNA from 1 species